rnacentral:rRNA from 1 species
UUUUGCCUACGGGGGGCAGCAGUAGGGAAUUUUCGUCAAUGGGCGCAAGCCUGAACGGGCAAUGCCGCGUGAACGAGGAAGGUCUUCGGAUCGUAAAGUUCUGUUGAAGGGGAAAAAGAGCGGAGAAAGGAAAUGAACUCCGAUUGAUAUUACCCUUCGAGGAAGUCACGGCUAACUACGUGCCAGCAGCCGCGGUAAUACGUAGGUGGCGAGCGUUAUCCGGAAUGAUUGGGCGUAAAGGGUGCGUAGGCGGCCUGCUAAGUCUGGCGUGAAAGGUACCGGCUCAACCGGUACAGGCUCUGGAA